rnacentral:rRNA from 1 species
AUGAACGACUAGCGGCAGGCUUAAUUACAUGCAAGUUGAGGGGCGAGCAUGAUAUACGCGAGUAUAUUGAUGGCGACCGGCGGACGGGUGAGUAAUAGGUAGGAGACCUACCUCAUACAGGGGGAGUAGCAUAGAGAAAUCUGUGGUAAUACCCCAUGAGGUUAUAUGAAUAGAGGCAUAUAAUCAAAGCAUAAGCGAUUAUGCGGUAUGAGAGGGGCCGUACUGACCAUUAGCUAGUUGGUGAGGUAAGGGCGUCACCAAGGCGAAGAUGGUUAGGGGUUUUGGUAGAGAGAGACCCCCACCAUUGGAACUGAGAGACGGUCCAGACUCCCUACGGGAGGCAGCAGUAGGGAAUAUUGGGCAAUGGGCGAAAGCCUGACCCAGCCAUGCCGCGUGAAGGAAGACGGCCUUAUGGGUUGUAAACUUCUUUACUACGCGAAUAGAGGUUAGUACGAGAUACUAAUAGGAAGGUAGUGUAGUAAAAAGCACCGGCUAACUCCGUG